UGGGUUAUACAAUUCCCGAAUAUACUGAAUAAAACCAGGAUGUGAAGGAAAUGAAAAAGGCAAACCACAAACAGCAACCAUUUUAGCUAAUUCUCUACGAUCUUUUUCUUUACUAUAUGUGCGGUGUGUGCUUCGGCUAGCCGGGUUAGUCAUAUUUAAUUCACUUUGAACCAUAUUAGAACCUCCAGCUCCCAUAGAAUUUUCAGGUUGAGG
rnacentral:lncRNA from 1 species